CAUGCAUGAAAACUAAGCGUGCACUCUCAAUCAACAUACACAAAUAAAUUAUCAAUCAAAUAGAUGAACGAAUUAAAUCCAUAACUUAUGAAAUAACAACUGAAUGUAAUCAAAUCAUAUUGCAAGCAUGUACAUGGUUUCGAAUCACCCCCUAACUAAGAGGGGUUUAGUUCCUCAUACUCGCAAAGCAAAGAUACAUAAAUUUAGAAAUUAAAACCCAAAGAAAGAAAACACCUAGAAGACUCCAACUUGGCAGCAAGAUCAUCAAUGAUUUCCCUUUCCUCCUUGCUGCGGCAGAGAAGUUUGGAACAGGUUUUGGGUGGUAUUUAGGGUGUAGAAUGGAUGGGGAAUGGUAGGGAAAGGUUUAGGGUUGAUGGGGCUAUGGCUAGGGAUGAUUUUUGGGCAGAAUUUUGGGACUUUGGUGAUGGGAAGGUGCGGCAGAAUGCAAGGGCAGAUUUCUGGCGUGAAUGAUUGUGUAUGAGAGGUGGUGAAUGGUGGCUGGAGUAGAGGGAUGGCUGCGGCAAGGUGUAUGGGUGUGGCUGGAAUGGAUGAAGGCUGCGGCAAGGUGUGGGAAUAGGGUUUAGACGAUUUCUGAUUUGUAGAGUGGGAGCUCCUCGGCCAAAGGAGUAAAACACAUAUAUAUAGGCACCUAAAACCCUAAUGAAAUCAGAUUGAAACAAUGGGCUAGGGUUAAGGUUUGUAAAAUAGGGCUUCUAGGAUGGAAAGGUGCGGCAUGGGCUUAGGGUAAAUAAUCAGAUUUUUUUGCAUGUGAACAAGGCCUAGGUGCGGCUGAUUAAGUGGCUAGGGUUAGGGUUUAGGUGCGACAUAGGU
rnacentral:lncRNA from 1 species